rnacentral:rRNA from 1 species
UACGUAGGGUCCGAGCGUUGUCCGGAAUUACUGGGUGUAAAGAGCUCGUAGGUGGUUUGUCGCGUUGUUCGUGAAAACUCACAGCUCAACUGUGGGCGUGCGGGCGAUACGGGCAGACUGGAGUACUGCAGGGGAGACUGGAAUUCCUGGUGUAGCGGUGGAAUGCGCAGAUAUCAGGAGGAACACCGGUGGCGAAGGCGGGUCUCUGGGCAGUAACUGACGCUGAGGAGCGAAAGCGUGGGGAGCGAACAGG